CGGGGUGCAGCAGGCGCGAAAACUUUACAAUGCGGGAAACCGUGAUAAGGGGACACCGAGUGCCAGCAUCAUAUGCUGGCUGUCCAGGUGUGUAAAAUACACCUGUUAGCAAGGGCCGGGCAAGACCGGUGCCAGCCGCCGCGGUAACACCGGCGGCCCGAGUGGUGAUCGUGAUUAUUGGGUCUAAAGGGUCCGUAGCCGGUUUGGUCAGUCCUCCGGGAAAUCUGACGGCUCAACCGUUAGGCUUUCGGGGGAUACUGCCAGGCUUGGAACCGGGAGAGGUAAGAGGUACUACAGGGGUAGGAGUGAAAUCUUGUAAUCCCUGUGAGACCACCUGUGGCGAAGGCGUCUUACCAGAACGGGUUCGACGGUGAGGGACGAAAGCUGGGGGCACGAACCGGAUUAGAUACCCGGGUAGUCCCAGCCGUAAACGAUGCUCGCUAGGUGUCAGGCAUGGCGCGACCGUGUCUGGUGCCGCAGGGAAGCCGUGAAGCGAGCCACCUGGGAAGUACGGCCGCAAGGCUGAAACUUAAAGGAAUUGGCGGGGGAGCACAAGGGCGAA
rnacentral:rRNA from 1 species